CUAGGAUUGUGACGUUGCGCAGUACGAAAAACAAAGGCGGACUGACGCAGCUGUGGAGAGGUUAGUAGUUUAGAAAGAAAAUGGCAGGAACGUUGAACCCCGAAAUAUGGAAAAAUUGGGAGAAAAGCGGUAAAAGUGAAUUCAUGAAACUUUUUCUUCAAUUAUGCAAAGAUAAUACAAAAAGUCCAAUGUUUGAUAAAAGUGGAAAGAUCCAAAACAUCACGCAUAAUCUCAAUAUGUUGGUAAUCAACGGCGUUCACGGGACAAUCAAAAAGGAAUGGGUCAUAAGUGCUUUACAGGAAUUGGCAGCUUUGCACAGUGAUAACGCUGCUAUAAUAUGCGACGUUUUAAACGUCGCCGAUGCCGAAACGUCCGUGUUUGAGAAUCCAGACGAUCCUAAAGAGCGUAACAGUUUGGGUUACAUUAUUCGAGAGUGCGAGAAGUUUUUGUCUGAUAAAUUACUUAAAGAACGGCUGGAAAUUGACACUUUGCAAGAAGUCGGAGUUUUAAAGACACGGAAUUUUUACACCAAAUUUAUAAAAAUCAAAACGAAACUUUAUUAUAAGCAACGUAAAUUCAAUUUGUUCCGAGAGGAAAGCGAGGGAUUUUCAAAACUAGUUACCGAACUAAAUCAAGAUUUCAAAAAAAGUAUGGCAUGCAAAACAUUAUUAGAUAUCGUCCAGUCUUUAAUAGGUUGCUUCAAUUUGGAUCCGAAUCGUGUGCUAGAUGUAAUAUUUGAAAGUUUUGAAAACAAACCGAUGGACACCAGAUUAUUUAUACCGUUAAUUAACUCGUACAUGAACGAUCAUAAAGUUAUUGCGGAAGUGUCCGGUUCCAAAUAUUUGUUUCUUAGAAAUAGUUCGGAUUCUCAUGUACCCAAGUCACUGUUUGUAUUAACAGCGCAUCUUUUACAACAUGGAUUAAUUAAACUUAAUGAUAUUUACCCGUGGCUCACACCAGAGGAUAAGGUGAUGCAGAAAGAUUGGGACAGUGAUAUGAAAAGUGCAAGGGAAUACAUGCAAUCGCUUCAGGUGGUCUCGCUAAAUCCUUCCAAAGAUGAUGCAAUCGAAGAAAAAGAUAACAGCACCGACCAAUAUAACAACAACCAAAAGUUGGGUUUAUGCGAGGCGUUGUUAGAAAUCGGGGAUUGGGAGAACGCACAACUGAUUAUUAAUCGAUUACCCGAACAUUUUGCCAUGGAUUAUCAACCGGCCGCCUUAGCUCUGUGUAGUUUACUUCACUACAUUAUCGAGCCGGUGUAUAGAGCGAAUUAUAAACUGGGAAAUAAACUAAAGGGAAGAGUUGUUCCACCACAUAAAAAUCCAUUGGCGCCGAAACCGGUGCAUACAUUUUUAGACCUGCGAAAAGUAGCCAUUCCCAUGUUGCUUACGUUAGGACCAUCGCUACGUUAUGAUCCAUUGCUACUGUAUAAAGUAAUAAGACUGGCAAAAGCCGCAAUGAGUUCUUAUGGUAUUGAUACGUCGUCCACUCAGCCUCCCGAUGGGGACACAUUAUAUUACGACAUCCUUACGAUACUCGACACCACAAUUUUGCCCUCCCUUUCUUAUUUAGAGUGUAACUGUUGUGUUGCCGAAACCGUUUGGAAUAUCAUCAAACUGUAUCCAUAUCACGUUCGUUAUUGCUUGUACGGACAGUGGAAGAACGAAACCUACGCUUUGUAUCCAGAUCUGAUUCGAAGGCGGGCAGAUGCGGAGAAGUCACUAAAAAACACGAUGAAACGUGUCAGUAAAGAAAAUCUUAAACACACCGGUAGAAGUAUUGGAAAGCUAACGCAUAGCUCUCCGGGAUAUUUAUUUGAUUACAUUCUUGUUCAAGUGCAAGUUUACGAUAAUUUAAUUUAUCCGGUAGUUGACUCUUUAAAAUAUCUGACUAGCCUAUCGUACGACGUUCUGGGUUAUUGCUUGGUUGAAACUUUAUCAAAUGCCGAGAAAAAGAGAGUUAAGCACGACAGCACCUCGAUCUCUCAUUGGUUGCAGAGUUUAUCCUGUUUUAGUGGUGCAAUCUUUAAGAAGUAUAAUAUUGAACUUACCGGUUUAUUGCAGUAUGUGGCCAAUCAAUUGAAAGCUCAAAAGAGUUUGGAUCUUUUGAUUUUGAAGGAAAUUGUUCAAAAAAUGGCAGGUGUUGAAUCUGCAGAGGAGUUGACAAUGGACCAGCUUAAUGCCAUGGCUGGUGGUGAACUAUUGAAAUCAGAGGCCGGGUACUUUAGUCAAGUCAGAAAUACGAAAAAAUCCUCAAUCCGUUUAAAAGAUGCCAUGGCUGAUCAAAACUUGGCAGUUACUCUUUGCCUAUUAAUGGCUCAACAGAAAUAUUGUGCGGUUUAUCGAGAAACGCAGCAAAGUCACUUGAAACUAGUUGGAAAUUUGGCUGACCAAUGCCAAGACACCCUAGUUCAGUUCGGUACAUUCCUAGGAUCGACAUUAUCUGUAGAUGAAUACACAAAUAAAUUACCAUCAAUACAAAGUAUGUUAUUGGACUAUCAUAUCCCGUAUGAAGUUGCAUUCUUUCUGGCAAGACCAAUGUUAAACCAUUCAAUAAAUAUCAAGUAUGACCAAUUAAGGAAAUCAGAUUCGAAUUACAAAAAAUUAUCGACUCAAGCUAAGCAUCAAAAGUAUUUCGACGCUGUAACGGAAAUAAUGGAGCCUGUUUUUAAGUCAAUCGUCCCACUUCAUCCCCCCAAAGUGUGGGAAGACAUUUCCCCACAAUUCCUCACCACAUUUUGGUCACUGACUAUGUUUGACUUAUUCGUCCCCGACGAGACAUAUCAGCAGGUUAUUUCGAAAAUUAAGCAGCAAUCCUUGCAAAUCGCCGACACUAAUACCAGCAAGGGAAAGAAGGAUUUGGAACGAUACAUGACUCUCAUGGAAAAGGUUCAGGACGAGAAGAAGAAACAGCACGAGCACGUUGACAAAGUAUUGUACAGAUUAAAUCAAGAAAAGGACACGUGGUUUCUGUCGAGAUCGGUGAAGGCGGCGAAAAAUGAAACCAUAACUCGAUUUUUGCAACUCUGUUUGUUCCCGAGGUGUACUUUUACGCCGAUUGAUGCAGUGUAUUGUGCCAAAUUUGUCCAUACAAUACAUAGCUUGAAGACACCCAACUUUUCUACUCUUCUGUGUUAUGAUAGGUUGUUUUGUGACGUGACCUAUUCUAUUACAUCAUGUACAGAAAACGAAGCAAUCCGUUACGGUCGCUUUCUUUGCGCGAUGCUCGAGACCGUUAUGCGUUGGCAGAAAUCGAAGGAAAAUUUCGACAGGGAAUGCGCCAAUUAUCCAGGAUUUGUUACGAAAUUUCGCGUUAGUAACCAAUGUAACGACAGCAUGGAUCACGUCGGCUACGAGAACUAUCGACACGUCUGUCAUAAGUGGCACUUUAAAUUAGCCAAGGCCAUGAUGAUAUGCUUGGACUCGAAAGAUUUUGUACAAAUUCGCAAUGCGCUGAUUAUACUUAUCAAGAUCAUUCCCCACUUUCCUGUUCUUUUGAAAUUAAGCCAGAUUAUAGAGAAGAGGGUUGAGAAAGUGAAGGAUGAGGAGAAGAACCAACGGCAGGAUUUGUACACGUUAGCUAUUAGUUAUCACGGGCAGUUAAAGCAGAGAAUUGCUUCAGGACAUAUGUUGAAGGAAAGCGAGUUUCAUGUGACAGAAAAAGAAAAGGCGGCAAAAUCCCAUGAUGCCGCUAAGCAUGAUGUAAAUACUUCAUCUAAACAUAAUGGGGAUGCUCGAGAUCAAGCCGAUACGUCGAAAGAAUCUGCAAAAGAUGUGAAGGAAAAGCCGGAAAUCAAAAGGAGCAGGCAGUCAUCUGAAGAUACUAAGCCGUUGCCAAAAGUACCAACGUCAGAUAUAAAUAACUCCAAAGAUAAAUUAGCCGAGAAAGAAAAACAACCCAAAGAAAGUCGAAUAGACAAGGAUCUUAGAAAAGAGGAAAAGCGAGACGACCUAGAGCGUGAUAAAGACCGUGACCGACGACGAGAGCGGAAAGAGGAAAAAUUAAUAGGUAAAGAAGAUAGGGUAUACAGGGACGAACGAUAUAUUGAAAUGUUAAGUCCCAAAGACGAUGUAAGAUAUUCGAGCGAACGCGAUCGAUAUUAUGAAGAUCGAGGUGCCCACUAUCUUAGAGAAGUUCGUGACGAACGCGAAAUUAGUUUCGGAAAUAAUGGUUCAAAUUUGAGACGCAGUCAGGAACCACCCGAACCCGAUAGAGAACUAAAAAGAAGAAAAAUGGAGGGUUCUACUUCGAAGGUUAGUAUUGGGGUCAGAUAACAUCGGAGUGAGAUAGUUUCAGGGCCUUCCCCACACUUCGCCUGGUACAUUUCAACGUUCAGAUGUUCAGUUUGGGAGAUUGGGCUGAGAAGUCAACCUAUUUUAUUUGAAAUACGUGUUUUAGUGUGCGGUAAAAUUUAAGUGUUUUAAAAAAGUGAACUUUCCUUCGUUCGUCUACCCGAGGACAUCAGUUUAAGUUUCUAUUUUGCGCGUUCAUCGAGAGCUUUCGUUUUGUUUUAAUUUGGAAUGAAGAUUAAUUUGACAAGAUUGUCGCCGCAAUUCUGGUUACUGAAAGAAUCAAUUUUAAGUUAAUGGCAUAUUUUCCAUUGUUCCCAAUUAUAGAAAUGAUGUUAAGUUAUUUUUGUCACUGAUAUCAGCAUCAACCACUGUCCAAAUCAAAAUACCAAUAUCGAGAUGAAAUGUAUUUAAUUAAUCGAACAAAACUACAGCAAGUAAAUUAAAGAUCUUGGAUAGAACAAUAAAUGAAGCUGCACUGCCAAAAAGAAUUUGAAGAUAUCUGCUUGAAAUGAAGAUCCGUUCAUCACUUGAAGAAGAAAUCGCUGCGGCCCAGGAUGAAGAACCUUCCUAAGUGUUUAUAACAAAAUCUUUCCAUCUGGUUGCUUUCGAAUGUUUUAAUCCUUGGUGAUUUUGAAGACACUCAUGUUGAUCAGCCCAAUCUUCCAUGCAUCUGCCGUUCUCUACAAUUAUGGGGGUGGGUCUGCUGUUCGAAGAAGGAGUGGACAGCCAAGCAAAUUCUUCAGAAUUCACAUUAUUCCUGUAUGAGCAGAAAAAACUACAUCAUAGACCAAAUAAUAGUGUUUAUGUGAACGAAUAAAGAUAGAGAGGGACUUUUACUUGGCAUAAUAAAACCUGCAAAAUGAGUGAGAAAAUCAAAAAAAUUUUCUGCUUGAAUAGUCCCAGUUGAUGCAGCACAACGAAUUACUAAAAUUCUUAGAAAGUAAAAGCAGAACCGGUCCGACGGGUUGACCGGCCGGAAGCUUUUACUCGCGAAAAUGAAUGUGAACUCUUCCAAUAGGGUCAUUUGCAUUAUUUCGCAUAUUCUGUUUUCAAAAUGUGAACCUUCUUAUGUAAUGCAAUAAAAGGAGCAAGCGAGACACAGGAAGUUUAACCUAACGAUAUCCAUUCAAAUGGUUGAAUGUGCAAAAUAGGCACGGAACAAUCCUGGACGUGUGGAAUAUAAAUGUCUAUAAAAGAAAGAGUUGAGAACAAACACAAUGUAACAAGAAUACAAUUUGACAGACUGGACAUCGAUGCAGUGGAAAAGAAAGUAACUAUAAAAUAAUGCAGUACCAGAAAUAACUUCUCAGACGCCAGCAAUGGAAAUAAAUAGAAAACAUAAUAAUAAAAAAAUCAAAACCAUUGCUGUGAUAGCAUCAGACAUCGAUAAGAACAAUCACAUGCUACAAAAGAAAAUAACAUUUAUCAAGAAAAAAACUUUAAUAAUUAUUUAGCAAAUAAUGGAAAGAGCUCACAUAUAUGAGGUAUUGGGGAUCGAAAGCAGAUUCGGAAACAAUGGAAUCUAAGAAUAUGAUCCCCAUAUAUUCUAUACCGAAAACUGAAACAAGACGGAAGUUGCUGCACCAUUUCCAAGUAGAGAUCCAUGGUAAAUCAAAUUUUCUCAAAAUGGAGGGUAUGAGUUAUGGUAGAUACAGUAAAUUAGAAAUGAGGAGAAUUUCAAAUGUAAACGAAUGGAUCAGGGAUGAUUGGGCUGUAAAGACCGCAAGUGACAAGUUGCUAGAUGGAAGACCGUCUGUGUGCCACCGGAGAAAUUGUUGGAAUGACUAAUUUUGUGAGAAGAAAAAUCGAAAGAUGAAAUUGAAGAAAAUGGAAAGAAGCAAAAGUGAUACGUAAUUCAUAAAAGGAACAAAAUACACAGGAAGCAUGUGAUAAGUCUGAGAACAAUGGAAAUGGUUAGUAUCAGAACAAGUGUAGUAAAUGUUGAACGAUUGUCAGUAAGUGGCUUGGGUUAUUAAACAAUGAGGAAGCAAAACAAAAGCUGGGGAUGGUACCAAAAAUAUAUUUAAUGGAUUCAAAAUAUUGAAAUGAACUACAUUUAUUGACAUGUUUAGUAAAAAUGGAAAAACCACAUAUCUUGACCUAUAACAAAAACUUUCCAAUGUUCGUAAAUAUCAAAGCCUUAAACUCUCUAUAAGUUAUCUCCUCAGGAUCCAACUAAUCGAAAUCGUAGCACGGAACGUUUCAAUGUUAGGGGCUUAUGUAGGUAAUUGAUUCGUGAUAGGAAAUGCGUGAUGUCAACCUCCAAAGCUAAUGAAGUGAGCUCCAUAAAGUUUAAGGACCUUGAGAAUCUCUGAAUCAAGCAUCUAUUACUUAAAGGAACGUCCCAGAAAAGUUACCAUAUUUCAUUAUGGUUUUCAGAAAUUUCUUUGCCAAUUUUAAGAAAUUCCCUUGCCGCCCGUAAUGUGUAACAGUGACUCCCGUUGUUCGGCAAUUCACCAUUUGUAAUUGACAGCAUUUUACCAACAUAAUAAUGUAAUGAGUUUACAAAUUUACUUAUCCGCAACUGAUGUAUGUUAAUAUUUUUACAAUGAUGGCAAGUAGUGUAAAUGUUCAAAACUGUGUGAAACAAUGGAUGAAUGCUUAUUGGGAAGAGGACGGAGCUGUAGACUUGGAGAUUGGACACCAUACAAGCUAUCAACACAAACUUUCAACUGUCAGUGAGAAAUAAACUCAUCCAGAAAGGGGUUAUGAAUGGUGACAAGGGAAUCAACUUGUUAGAAGGUGAAGUUCCCGAAAAAGUGAUGAUUUUGAUGUUGGUCAGUCGUUCACAUUCUUCUGUUUUUCCAACAACUAUUGAAUAUUGAUCAGCAACUAGCAUUAAUUUCUUCUGAAUGCAGACGUACCAUUGUUCAAGAAAUUCUCCAUUUCAUAUGUCAACAAUCAUCAGGUGAAAAUUCAAUUACUGGAAUGCUUGUCCUACUAGUGUUGGUCUGCUUUGUCUGAAAUGCUACAUCCGAUUCAAAGCAGAGAAUGUCAUUAGUCUUUUACAAAUGGUGCCUGAUCGUUGGAUUCCAUUCAUCUAUUUUGGAUAUGAGCUGUUUUGAGAUCUGGUGUUUGGGAAGAAUGAUCUUGUGAGGGAACAUCGUGGAGUAUGGGAAGCAGAUGUGCAAGAUUUGAAGAGCGUAAAAGAGAAUUUCGUUAAAUUUACAAUUACGAAAUCAUUAGCUGACCAAGUUGCAAAUCUAAUCAUACCUUGGCAAUACAAUUAUGAAGAAAAACAAGACUGCGGAAAUGUGGAAGUUCAGCGAGUGUGAUGCAAGAUACAGAAGCAAAAAAAAUCGAGCAAGAUUGAAUAAUGAAGAUCAGCAAAAUUGAAGAUCCAUUCGGGACAAACCUGCCUUUAUUUAAAACAUAAUAACAUCAUACAGUGCAGAAGUAAAUAAACUCAUUGUCAUGUGUGCUAUGUAACCGUAAAAUGCUUUUGAUUACAUUCUUUUAAUCAGUGUGCACAAUUUAACAACAUGUAACUAUUCUUCAUCUGUUUUCUUUCGUAGUUGUCCAUCUUUCAAUCACAGAAUAUUAUGGGGUUAUAGUCGCAGUAGUUAUUUUUUUUGCAUAUCGCAGGGAGACUGUGAAAUUAAGACAAAUGUUUGAUUAAGUUUUUCUUUAUUAGUGUUGGGGGUACGCCCUCGUGAGAGGUAUGGUUUGCUUCAGAAUUUUGUAACAUAUUUUAUGUUGGCUGUUUUUAAUAUUCGUAAA